rnacentral:lncRNA from 1 species
AUUUUAGUAGAUUUUAUAUAUCAUUUUUUGUUUUGUUUUAUAGGAAAUGCUUGAUGAAGCUGAUUAUGAUGGGGAUGGAGAAAUAAAUGAGGAAGAAUUUUUGAAAAUGAUGAAGAAGACCGCUUUUUAAUACUGUUCUUUUCUGUCCCAUUUGUUAUAUGAUUCAAUAAUGUAAGAUCUGAAUGGAUUCAUUUUCAAUUUUUAGUUUGUCCACACAGAUUGGUCUCUUGGUGUCUGUGUGAAAAGUUGUGUUUCUACCAAUAUUGUUAUAUUUGCCAUACAAAGAAACAAAACAUGAGAGCUUCCUUGAGCCAGGAAUGUAAGAGCAGUGUUAAUCCCAACUGCUUUUUUUAAGUGGGUUCCACAGACUUAGAAUUUUAUUGAAGUUUAUUGCAGUUGGCCCCACAUCCAAAUGAAUCUGGCAAACAAACCAUUAUUAUUGUGUGACUAAAAAAGCAGAUUAGCAUUGUCUUUUUAAUCACUUCUUCAAAUAUGUAAAAAAUAAAACUGGUUGGCAACUAAGUUGUUUGCUAA